rnacentral:misc_RNA from 1 species
CCCAACUAUCCCUAUUAAUCAUUACGACAGUUCUAUUUUGUUGGUUUCCGGAACGGUCGUCCUAUUUCAUUAUUCCAUGCUAAUGUAUUCAAGCGUACGAGCCCGCUUUGAGCACUCUAAUUUUUUCAAGGUAAAGGUCCUGGUUCCCGACGACACCUAAUGAAAGGCAUCCCCGCUCGCCAGAAGGUGAGACCCGCGACGGGGCAGUGCACGCCCAGAGGACGGACCACCCGCACGGGCCUAAGGUUCAACUACGAGCUUUUUAACUGCAACAACUUUAAUAUACGCUAUUGGAGCUGGAAUUACCGCGGCUGCUGGCACCAGACUUGCCCUCCAA